rnacentral:rRNA from 1 species
UACAGAGGUCUCAAGCGUUGUUCGGAAUCACUGGGCGUAAAGGGUGCGUAGGUGGCGUGGUAAGUCAGAUGUGAAAGCCCGGGGCUCAACCUCGGAAUUGCAUCCGAUACUGCCGUGCUAGAGUACUGAAGAGGUGACUAGAAUUCUCGGUGUAGCAGUGAAAUGACGUAGAUAUCGAGAGGAAUACCAACGGCGAAGGCAGGUCACUGGGCAGUUACUGACACUGAGGCACGAAGGCCAGGGGAGCAAACGGG